CUGAGGAAUAAUAUGUAUUUAUAUGGUUGUGAAAAUAGACUUUGUGUUUGUGAGUGUGAAAAUAUGAGUGUGUGUCUGCGUGUGUGCGCGCGCGCUUUUCUGAACCAGGGACCCCACAUGACAACUGAGGGGAAACAGUCAGCAUCCACGUAGAGCAGAAGGAAGUCGCUUGGCAUUCGGAAUUAAAGGAAGUCGCAUGGUACAGCUGAAUUUGUGAGAAGAGGACAGGAUGCGAUA